UACGUAGGGUGCGAGCGUUAAUCGGAAUUACUGGGCGUAAAGCGUGCGCAGGCGGUUUUGUAAGCCAGAUGUGAAAUCCCCGGGCUUAACCUGGGAAUGGCAUUUGGGACUGCAAGGCUGGAGUGCGGCAGAGGAGACUGGAAUUCCUGGUGUAGCGGUGAAAUGCGUAGAUAUCUGGAGGAACACCGGUGGCGAAGGCGGCAUCCUGGACCAACACUGACGCUGAGUGAGCGAAAGCCAGGGGAGCAAACGGG
rnacentral:rRNA from 1 species